GUAGGGAAUAUUGGGCAAUGGAGGCAACUCUGACCCAGCCAUGCCGCGUGCAGGAUGACGGCCCUCUGGGUUGUAAACUGCUUUUAUACGGGAAGAAAAAUACUACGUGUAGUAUACUGACGGUACCGUAAGAAUAAGGAUCGGCUAACUCCGUGCCAGCAGCCGCGGUAAUACGGAGGAUCCAAGCGUUGUCCGGAUUUAUUGGGUUUAAAGGGUGCGUAGGCGGAUCUUUAAGUCAGUGGUGAAAGCCUGCAGCUUAACUGUAGAAUUGCCAUUGAAACUGAAGAUCUUGAAUGUGGUUAAAGUAGGCGGAAUGUAUCAUGUAGCGGUGAAAUGCUUAGAUAUGAUACAGAACACCGAUAGCGAAGGCAGCUUGCUGAACCAUUAUUGACGCUGAGGCACGAAAGCGUGGGGAGCGAACAGGAUUAGAUACCCGGGUAGUCC
rnacentral:rRNA from 1 species